rnacentral:rRNA from 1 species
GAUGAACGCUGGCGGCGUGCCUAAUACAUGCAAGUCGAACGGAAGGACGCUAAGCUUGUUGCCUUGAUGUUUGCGGCGGGCGGGCGAGUAACACGUGGAUAACCUACCUGUAAUUCGGGGAUAAUUACGGGAAACCGGAGCUAAUACCGGAUAAUAUUCUGAACCGCAUGGUUCAAAGGUGAAUGACGGCCUUGGGGUAUGUUAUAGAUGGAUACAGGCUUGAUUAGUUAGUUGGUAAGGUAACAGCCUACCAAGGCAACGAUGCAUAGCCGACCUGAGAGGGUGAUCGGCCACACUGGAACUUAGACACGGUCCAGACUCCUACGGGAGGCAGCAGUAGGGAAUCUUCCGCAAUGGGCGGAAGCCUGACGCAGCAACGCCGCGUGAGUGAUGAAGGCCUUCGGGUCGUAAAACUCUGUUAUUGGGGAAGAACAUAUGUCGAAUGAACCGUAGCCAUCUUGACGGUACCUAAUCAGAAAGCCCCGGCUAACUACGUG